UAACGGAUGGUUUAUGCAGGCAAUAACAUUUAACUUAUGCAGGAUCUGGUAAAGUUCAAUACUAGAAUUUCAAGGCUACUGUUUAUUGAGACCUCGGUAAACAGAAGCAUUGAAAUCCUAAUAAUGAACUUUACCGGUUCCGGCAUAAGUUAAUGGUUAUUGUCUGCAUAAAUAAGCUUCUUCUAUUCUCUUUUCUGAAGACUCCCUUGACCCCCCUUCUACAAUCCAUUUAAUUUCCCACUUCACUACCAGAUGGCAGUAAUUUUUUGUUUCCCAUGUUAAGUACAGAGCUUUCAUUUCUCAUAGUAUAUGUUCUGUAGUUAAAACUAACUCACGUUCCAAAGCGGUUAGGUUAGGUUGCUUAUUAAGUUGCAAUCAAGUUGCUUAUUAGUAAACUGUGCAUCUAUUGGGACCAUUGGGACGGGAACUCAGACGUUCGGAUCAUCUUAGAAAAUAAAAUCCCGGAAGUAGGAGAGAUUUUCUGAAAAUCAGGAUUGGUUACUACCCAAACCUGCUGAAAAUAAGUCAAAGAAGUGAAGAUUUAAUUGCUACGACUUAACGGCCAGAUUAGUCAAAGCGUGGCUCCUUUUAACGAUGAGUUUCCGGCAACAUCUGAACAAAAGCACGAAGAUUUUGCUUAACGGUCAGAUUAGCAGAGAACUCUACAUCGGAGCGCGACUUUAACGACGAGCUUCCGGCAACAUCUGAGCAAAAGGUAUUUUGAGCUGAAAGGAAGAAGAAGGAAAAAGAAGAACAAAAGAAAAUAAACAAAAGAAGACAAGACGCAAGACAUGAUUAUUCAGCCGGGAUAGAAUACAUAUAUAUAUUUUAUAAAUGGAUGCGUAUAUGUCUAAACACAUGUAUUGUAUCUAUAAAUAUAAUACGUGAUACACACGGGCAGUAAAAGUUUAUGUGCUUUGUUAACUGUUUCUAUUAUUAUGCGGUAAACAAAGCGAUAAUGAAAACAACUCUUGAGACAUUUAUAUUAAAUAGAAAAUUUGUAUAAUCUAUUGCAAGCUAUUAGAAGUGCUUCAUACAAAUAAUAAAAUAACAAUAAAAGUGUCAUUUAAGAAAAGAGUUUAAGAAAAAAAAAUUGUAAAAUGAGUGUAAACACUAGAAAAAGGAAAUGUUCUCUUACAGACAAAAAUGAUAUAGUAUUAAAGAGACUGCGCAUAGAAUUAAUACGCAUAGAUUCAAGUAAAAGAGAAAAUUUAGAAUUUCUUAGCGAUUUACAAGAUGAAUCUAGACAAGAUAAAUUUUGUACAGAUCAUCAUACUCAACACCACAGACAUCAACUUCUAAUCACUUGAUCAAACUUAUGUAUCAAUUAGACUUGUCAGUACUUUGCUCGCUUAGAAAGUUUACGUGAACAUAAAUAUCCUUUAUUAUCAUUAAUGUUUGAAGAUUCUGAAAUUGAUAAAUUUAAUAAUGUAAUAAUUUGUUAUUCGUCAUGAAAAGAAGUCAAUUCAUAUACGAAUUGAAUAUGUAGAUGAAUACUAUACAGAAAGUAGUAUUAGCUAUGGCAAAUUAUUUUCUAAACGCAACUCUUUACUUAAUAGUUAUUUUAAUGUUUUUGUUAAACGCAUAUUGAAAACAGAUAAUUUAUUAACAGAUGUAGAAUAUCUCAUUAUUUAUACUAAUUCAAAAUUGAAUCUUACAAAAGAGAAAACAUUCAAAAUAGGACGAUCUAAAACUUUUUAUUUUUUUAAAUUUGAUAACGUACAAAUUGGAGAAUGUGACAUUUUAAAAGAUUUUUUAUUUACAAAUGAUGAUACACAAGAGGAUGGUUUUUAUCGGUUUUCACUAGAUAAAACAAGAGAGAAGCUUUUAAAACAGUUGGAAUUUUUGCCUUCUACAAACAAAGUAGUACAAAAAAGAAAACUUACUCAGGAAUUUGAUAAAAGAAUAAAAGCAGCAUGUUUAGAUAAAAUAGUAUUUGCAGUUAAACAGCCCAAUAGAGAAAAACUGAGCAGCAUUGUAAAAAUUGAAAUGAAAAAAAAUGGUAAAGAUCAAAAUGAUUAUGUAGCAUUGCAAGAAAGAAUAUUAUGUGACUUAAAAACUUCAGACCAGUAUGUAAAACGUGGAAUCGAUGUAUCCGGAAUUAUAUAUCAGUUUAAUUUAUUAAUGAGCUUCCUUCAUGAUACAUUUGUGCAUAAAAAUGUAUUUUCCAUAAACUUUGGAAAUAAUGAUAACAGCAUUGCUAUCUACCAUCAAAACAGAAUUUCUUAUCUAUAUGUUCAUAACGCAGAUAUUAAUAUAGACAGUAGUCAGUUGUUCUCCUUCUCAGAGAAAGAAAAUAUGUUCUGUAUUAAUAAAUAUUUUACACUAUUUGUUGAAAACUUUAGUGAGAAUAUAGAAUAUUUAAUUUUGUACACUAACGCAAACUUAGAUCUGACAAAAGAAAAGAGGUUAAAAAUAAGGAUAUCUAAUGAUACCUGUCUUUCAAAAUUUGAUAGCGUUAAUAUUUGUGAGGAAUAUAGAGUUUUAAGAAAUAUAGAGUUUUAAGAUAUUGUUCCCCUAUGAACAAAAAUGAUAUUUAUCAAUUCUCGGAAGAUAUAACACGAGAGAAGAUUAUAAAGAUGUUAGUGUUGCCAUCUUUCCUGCAAAAAGAAAAAGAUGAGGGACAACUUUCUAAUGAAAAUGAAAGAGAAAAAAAAGAAAAGUUUUUAGAUAAAUUGAUAUUUGCGGUUAAUCAGCCAGAUAAGAAAAAAUUAAAUACUCUUAUUAGAAAUAAGAUAACUCAGUUACACAAUUACGCAUACAGCUAUGAA